GCCAGCAAGUAAUGUUGGGGACGUCAGAUGGAACUGCCGGUGACAAACCGGAGGAAGGUGGGGACGACGUCAAGUCAUCAUGGCCCUUAUGUCCUGGGCUACACACGUGCUACAAUGGCCGGUACAGAGCGCAGCGAAGCCGCGAGGCAAAGCGAAUCGCAAAAAGCCGGUCUCAGUACGGAUUGGAGUCUGAAACCCGACUCCAUGAAGUUGGAAUCGCUAGUAAUCGCGCAUCAGCAUGGCGCGGUGAAUACGUUCCCGGGCCUU
rnacentral:rRNA from 1 species